rnacentral:rRNA from 1 species
CCUAAUGAUUUCAGUGGCGCACGGGUGAGUAACACGUGUAUUACAUGCCCUUCAGUGGGGAAUAGCCCAGGGAAACUUGGAUUAAUACCCCAUGGUAUCGCAAGAUUAAAGGUGGCCGCAAGGCUGCCGCUGAAGGAUUGGUUCGCGCCCUAUCAGCUUGUUGGUGAGGUAACGGCUCACCAAGGCUACGACGGGUACCUGGUCUGAGAGGACGAUCAGGCACACUGGAACUGAGACACGGUCCAGACACCUACGGGUGGCAGCAGUCGAGAAUAAUUCACAAUGGGGGCAACCCUGAUGGUGCAACGCCGCGUGGAGGAUGACGGUCUUCGGAUUGUAAACUCCUGUCAUCUGGGAGAAAGACCUGGUCGUUAAUAGCGAACAGGGUUGAUAGUACCAGAAGAGGAAGGGACGGCUAACUUCGUGCCAGCAGCCGCGGUAAUACGAAGGUCCCAAGCGUUGUUCGGAAUCACUGGGCGUAAAGGGAGCGUAGGCGGCGCGGUAAGUCAGAUGUGAAAUCCCGGGGCUCAACCCCGGAACUGCAUCCGAUACUGGCGUGCUUGAGUAAUGGAGGGGUAGCUGGAAUUCUCGGUGUAGCAGUGAAAUGCGUAGAUAUCGAGAGGAACACUCGUGG